AAAGAUUUUUAAAAAAAAGAAGCUGCUAACUAUCUUUAAAAGCAUAUAUUGUUUAAUCUUUAU
rnacentral:tRNA from 1 species